rnacentral:rRNA from 1 species
UGGGGAAUAUUGCACAAUGGGCGCAAGCCUGAUGCAGCCAUGCCGCGUGUAUGAAGAAGGCCUUCGGGUUGUAAAGUACUUUCAGUCGGGAGGAAGGUGUCAAGGUUAAUAACCUUGGCAAUUGACGUUACCGACAGAAGAAGCACCGGCUAACUCCGUGCCAGCAGCCGCGGUAAUACGGAGGGUGCAAGCGUUAAUCGGAAUUACUGGGCGUAAAGCGCACGCAGGCGGUUGAUUGAGUCAGAUGUGAAAUCCCCGGGCUUAACCCGGGAAUUGCAUCUGAUACUGGUCAGCUAGAGUCUUGUAGAGGGGGGUAGAAUUCCAUGUGUAGCGGUGAAAUGCGUAGAGAUGUGGAGGAAUACCGGUGGCGAAGGCGGCCCCCUGGACAAAGACUGACGCUCAGUUGCGAAAGCGUGGGGAGCAAACAGG